GAAAUGCGAUAAGUAAUGUGAAUUGCAGAAUUCAGUGAAUCAUCGAAUCUUUGAACGCACCUUGCGCUCCUUGGUAUUCCGAGGAGCAUGCCUGUUUGAGUGUCAUGAAAUUCUCAAACCUUAUCGUCUUUUACAGGUUGAUGAGGUUUGGAUAUUGGAGGUUGCUGGCUUCUUUGAAAACCAGCUCUUCUUAAAUCUAUUAGUGGAAAUCAUUGCUGAUCAUCUUUUGGUAUGAUAAAUUAUCUAUACCUUGGACUUCAGUGCUCCUAUGGUUCUGCUUCUAAUCGUCUAAUUAGGACAACCAAUGACAAUUUGACCUCAAAUCAGGUAGGACUACCCGCUGAACUUAA
rnacentral:misc_RNA from 1 species